rnacentral:ribozyme from 13 species
UCUAGUAAAAGAAAUAAAGCAACAAAGGAAAAAGGACGAUGAUAUUUUAGGAAACUGUACACACAUUAUGUGACUGUUAUUAUUGUUGUUGUUGUUGUUAUUGUUCUUCUUUU